rnacentral:misc_RNA from 1 species
UUUCCGUAGGUGAACCUGCGGAAGGAUCAUUACAGAGUUCAUGCCCUCACGAGUAGAUCUCCCACCCUUGAAUAUUUAUACCUUAGUUGCUUUGGCAGGUCGUGGAAACACCAUGGGCUCCUGCUUAUGCGUGCCUGCCAGAGGAAACAAACUCUGUUUUUAGUGAAGUCUGAGUACUAUAUAAUAAUUAAAACUUUCAACAACGGAUCUCUUGGUUCUG